CAUUCUGUAGCAAUACAGGGUGUGGGCGCGUGGCGAACGGGUGCGUAACACGUGGAUAACCUUCCUUGAGGUGGGGAAUAACCCAGUGAAAAUUGGGCUAAUACCGCAUAACAUCGCGAUGGCACAUGCUGAUGCGAUCAAAGGCGCAAGUCGCCACAAGAGGGAUCCGCGGCCGAUUAGCUUGUUGGCGAGGUAAUGGCUCACCAAGGCAAUGAUCGGUAGCCGGACUGAGAGGUUGGCCGGCCACACUGGAACUGAGACACGGUCCAGACUCCUACGGGAGGCAGCAGUGGGGAAUCUUGCACAAUGGACGAAAGUCUGAUGCAGCAACGCCGCGUGGGGGAUGAAGCUUCUCGGAGUGUAAACCCCUUUCGACCCGGAAGAAUGCCCGCAAGGGUAUGACGGUACGGGUAUAAGAAGCCCCGGCUAACUACGUGCCAGCAGCCGCGGUAAUACGUAGGGGGCCAGCGUUGCUCGGAAUUACUGGGCGUAAAGGGUCCGUAGGCGGUGUAGCAAGUCGAUAGUGAAAUCUCUGGGCUUAACCCAGAGGCUGCUAACGAAACUGCUGUGCUAGAGUGUGAGAGAGGCGAGUGGAAUUACGGGUGUAGCGGUGAAAUGCGUAGAUAUCCGUAGGAACAUCCGAGGCGAAGGCGGCUCGCUGGAUCACAACUGACGCUGAGGGACGAAAGCUAGGGGAGCAAACAGGAUUAGAUACCCUGGUAGUCCUAGCCCUAAACCAUCAGGACUUGGGGUUUGCCCUGUACGGGGCAAGUCCCGUAGCUAACGCGUUAAGUCCUGCGCCUGGGGAGUACGGUCGC
rnacentral:rRNA from 1 species